UACGUAGGGUGCAAGCGUUAAUCGGAAUUACUGGGCGUAAAGGGCGCGUAGGCGGCCCGCUUAGUCGGACGUGAAAUCCCUCGGCUCAACCGAGGAACUGCGUCCGAUACUGGCGGGCUCGAAUCCGGGAGAGGGAUGUGGAAUUCCAGGUGUAGCGGUUGAAAUGCGCAGAUAUCAGGAGGAACACCGAUUGCGAAGGCAGCUCGCUGGAACGUAACUGACGCUGAGACGCGAAACGUGGGGGAGCAAACAGG
rnacentral:rRNA from 1 species